AGAGUUGAUCCUGGCUUAGGACGAACGCUGGCGGCGUGCUUAACACAUGCAAGUUGAACGGUAUGACAUGGAAGCUUGCUGAAGUGUCAUAUAGUAGCGGACGGGUGAGUAAUGCAUGAGAAGCUGCCAUUGGAGGGGGACAACAGUUGGAAACGGCUGCUAAUACCCCCGUAUGCCGGAGGGUGAAAGGGAGGUAAUCCGCCCGAUGAGGUGCUCAUGUCCUAUCAGCUGGUUGGUGGGGUAACGGCCUACCAAGGCGACGACGGGUAGCCGGCCUGAGAGGGUGAACGGCCACACUGGAACUGAGAUACGGUCCAGACUCCUACGGGAGGCAGCAGUGGGGAAUAUUGGGGCCAAUGGGGGCAACCCUGACCCAGCGACGCCGCGUGGGGGAAGACGGCCUUCGGGUUGUAAACCUCUUUUGUACGGGAAGAAGGAAGUGACGGUACUGUGCGAAUAAGUCCCGGCUAACUACGUGCCAGCCGCCGC
rnacentral:rRNA from 1 species